rnacentral:lncRNA from 1 species
AGGGUAGGGGGAGGAGGGGAGUUAAUAUUUAAUAGGUAGAGUUUCAGUUUUGUGAAAACAAGGUGUUCUGGAGAUGGCUGGGGGUGAUGGCUGCACAAGUCACCGAACUGCACACUGAAAACUAGUUAAAAUGGUCAGCUUAUGAGCAAUAAUUCUGGGUGUCAGCAUAUCAGAAUUCCAGCGGCUGUGAGUGGAAUAAAGAUGGGUUGCUGUAAUUUGGCCAUCCAAAUCGUCGUAUUACACCCACCAGCCCACACAUCUGCCAGUCUUCUGCAGGAGAUGGUUUUGAAAGCGUGUGCCCAAAUCCGGAACCAGAUGAUGGCAUUCGAGGGGCCAGUAUGGGCUGGGCACAGGCCUCUGAUGAGAGGAAUGAACCAGACCGUAGGAGCACGCGACUCUCCUGGAGAGAAUGGGCCCUGCCUGGCCACAAACGGGGGUGGGGGGAGGCAUUCCUGAGCCCAUGGCAGAGGUCCUACAUUCCUGGGAGGCGGGGGAAGCUGGUCCGCUAAUUAUCAAUCACGGAAAAAUAAACCUGCCCACUAAAGAGGACA